rnacentral:rRNA from 1 species
UGGGGAAUAUUGGACAAUGGGCGAAAGCCUGAUCCAGCAAUGCCGCGUGUGUGAAGAAGGCCUGCGGGUUGUAAAGCACUUUCAUCAGGGACGAAAAACCCGGGGCGAAUACUCCCGGGCCUUGACUUAACCUGAACAAGAAGCACCGGCUAACUCCGUGCCAGCAGCCGCGGUAAUACGGAGGGUGCGAGCGUUAAUCGGAAUUACUGGGCGUAAAGCGCACGUAGGAGGCGGGAUCAGUCAGAUGUGAAAUCCCCGGGCUCAACCUGGGAAUUGCAUUUGAUACUGUCUCGCUAGAGUCUGGCAGAGGUAAGCGGAAUUCCGGGUGUAGCGGUGGAAUGCGUAGAUAUCCGGAAGAACACCAGUGGCGAAGGCGGCUUACUGGGCCAAGACUGACUCUGAGGUGCGAAAGCGUGGGGAGCGAACAGG